rnacentral:rRNA from 1 species
CAGCAGCCCGGUAAUACGAAGGGUGCAAGCGUUAAUCGGAAUUACUGGGCGUAAAGCGUGCGUAGGCGGUUUGUUAAGUCUGUUGUGAAAUCCCCGGGCUCAACCUGGGAAUGGCAAUGGAUACUGGCAAGCUAGAGUGUGUCAGAGGAUGGUGGAAUUCCCGGUGUAGCGGUGAAAUGCGUAGAGAUCGGGAGGAACAUCAGUGGCGAAGGCGGCCAUCUGGGACAACACUGACGCUGAGGCACGAAAGCGUGGGGAGCAAACAGGAUUAGAUACCCCCGUAGUCCCUGUCUCUUAUACA